rnacentral:ribozyme from 14 species
UUGAUCCAGAGGAAUAUUUGUUUCCUCUUGAAUGCACAUUUUUUCUUGUUUUCUUUUUUAUUUAUUCUUUCAAGACCUUUUCCAAAAAGGCGGGACGGA